rnacentral:rRNA from 1 species
AUUGAACGCUGGCGGCAUGCCUUACACAUGCAAGUCGAACGGCAGCACGGGAGCAAUCCUGGUGGCGAGUGGCGAACGGGUGAGUAAAGUAUCGGAACGUGCCCAGUCGUGGGGGAUAACGUAGCGAAAGUUACGCUAAUACCGCAUACGAUCUACGGAUGAAAGCGGGGGAUGGCAAGACCACGCGCGAUUGGAGCGGCUGAUAUCAGAUUAGGUAGUUGGUGGGGUAAAGGCUCACCAAGCCGACGAUCUGUAGCGGGUCUGCGGGGACGACCAGCCACACUGGGACUGGGACACGGCCCAGACUCCUACGGGAGGAAGCAGCGGGGAAUUUUGGACAAUGGGCGCAAGCCUGAUCCAGCCAUGCCGCGUGCAGGAUGAAGGCCUUCGGGUUGUAAACUGCUUUUGUACGGAACGAAAAGGUUUGGCCUAAUAAGCUGGACCCAUGACGGUACCGUGAGAAUAAGCACCGGCUAACUACGUGCCAGCAGCCGCCGCCG